GACGAACGCUGGCGGCGUGCUUAACACGUGCAAGUCGAACGGUAAGGCUCCAGCUUGCUGGGGUACACGAGUGGCGAACGGGUGAGUAACACGUGGGUGACCUGCCCUGCACUUCGGGAUAAGCCUGGGAAACUGGGUCUAAUACCGGAUAGGACCAUGGUGUGGAUACUGUGGUGGAAAGUUUUUUCGGUGUGGGAUGGGCCCGCGGCCUAUCAGCUUGUUGGUGGGGUAAUGGCCUACCAAGGCGGCGACGGGUAGCCGGCCUGAGAGGGUGGACGGCCACAUUGGGACUGAGACACGGCCCAGACUCCUACGGGAGGCAGCAGUGGGGAAUAUUGCACAAUGGGCGGAAGCCUGAUGCAGCGACGCCGCGUGGGGGAUGACGGCCUUCGGGUUGUAAACUCCUUUCACCAUCGACGAAGGGUUUCUGACGGUAGAUGGAGAAGAAGCACCGGCUAACUACGUG
rnacentral:rRNA from 1 species